GAAACUCAAGUCCUAACCCACGAGCUUAUCACUCGAGACAAAUCCUCCUCCUUGACCUCUAAAAGGUCGUUGAAACGUCAUACACAUCCUAUAGAACUACUAACCAAAUUCUCAUGUUCGGAUUACUCAAAAAAUGAAACGAACGAAACUUAACACCACGGGGAAACCCUAGCAUGCAAUAAAGAUAACCAAAACCUACAACCCACAAAUCAUCACGCUCGUAUCGAAGAGUAUUAUCUAACCAGCACCACAAAACACCCCAGACACUACCGGACGCGCCGCCACGCGCCACCACAGGCGGCGGCGAGUGGGCCCCACGCGCCACGACGAAACGUCCGAAUUUGGGCAAACUCAAAACAUCAAAUUUGUAGAUUGAGAAGAGAGGAGCAUCUUUUAUACCUGAGGGUUCAACUAGUUCGGCCGGAAAUCACCGGAAAUGCGUCUGAAAGUUUGGAAUCCACCACCGCCACUCUCCGCGGUGAGUCGCGCUCCAAGGCCACCAGAAGUCGGACCAGGACGCCAAGGAGCUUCUAUCCCGACCGAUCUCUCGCCUUGUCGCCGUCGUCGGAGGUUUGAAACCUGACCGGGUCUCUAACCCGAAAUUCCGAGCUUCGGGUCACCACUUCGGGACCGAAUCGGCGCAAGUCACCACCGCAGGGUAGCUCAGACGGAGGAGAGGAAGAGAACCCGACCGGUGCCAGCGUCUAGGUCAGUCGGAGUGGCCGGAAAAGCCGGGUCGGGUCAUCGGGUCUGGGUCGGGUUGGCUGGAGGACUUUGAAUUCUCUCGGGGUCGGACAGAGAGAAGGAGAGGGAGGAAAAUCUGGUUUCUGAAAAACUGAGGGCCCAAACUGGAAAUUUCCUAUUUAACCUAAAUAUUCCCGAAAAGCCACAACUUUCGCUGACCAUAACUUCCACAUACGAAGUCCGUUUUAUGCGUGUCACGUGUCUACGAACUCGUAUCGUCGUACUCUACAACUUUCGUGAAGGAAGUUUCCCAAGAAACCCAACCGAUUAAAAAGUCAACGCUUAACCCUUCAAAAUAGAGCAUUUUCACGGAACAAAAAAAACUCAACUACUUCCAGUCCACUCACUAAAUCACAAAUCCAUACAACUCUUACUUAAAUAAUUUCCAAAAUAAAAUUAGAAACUAAUAUUAAAAUUCCGGGGUAUUACAGUGAUAGUUACAGAAGUUGCAGUGGGUGUUGAGAGGAACGAUUUGGUGUAUAGUUUGUAGCUAGAAUCGGUGGUCGGCCUUGGAGGCUGACCGCCACUGCCGGCGGCGCGUGAUGCACGUGCGACCUCUUCAGGUGAGUCGAAUUAGCUUGUUAGGUAGGGUUCGUAACAACAAACCCAUCGGUGUAUGAUCUACCAAUUUUGGUGAUCGUAUGACUUAGUCGAAAGUUUCCAAAAUGUGAACAUUGGUUUGUUUAGAUGGUGAACGAGCCGUAUAUCUUGUUUUGGUAGAGAUAGGAGAGCAUUGGGGGUUGUUGGGAAUUUUCGGAAAAUUUUAUAGUUGUGAUGAUCAUUUUGGGUAGAUUCUAUUCAACGUGGAAUCGAUAGUUUUGGAUUUUUAGCUUAGGUUAUAAGAAAUGCCUUAGAUAAAUUUAGUUUUGGUUAGACUCUAUAGUAUGGUAUGAUUAAUGGUGGAGAUAUCUUGUUGGGUGAGUGGACACUUUGUUUUGUUAAAAGAAUAUGCAUGCAUGAUCUCUUUUGGAAAUUAUCGUUCUAAUUUCCGAGCUUAUAUUAUAAUUUCAGUUUAUAAUAUGGUUUUGAGAUUUAUUUGAGUUUGAGGGAUUGAUUAAGUGAUGAUCAUGAUUUAAGGAUUUAAGCUUGGGUUGUUAAUUUGGUAUUUGAGUGUUGAUAUUAUUUAUGAUUUCUGGAUUUAAUUAUUAUCGUUUCUAUUUGUGGAAUUUGAGAUAUGUAAAAGAUUACCGAAAAUGGGAUUUUCGGUAAUUCUCUAUUUAUAAUUUUCUCAUUUAUUUAUGGGAUAUCGAUCUUGACCUUCAGAAUAUUUUAGCGAGUAUUUUGGAUUAAGAAAUUAUUUACAAUUUAUACUGGAUAAUUAUAUCUCGCUUAUAAUUAUGGACUUGAGAAUAUUUUUGACGUAUGAGACACGUCAUUGAGUUUUUUUUUUUAAUUUUUUUAUGAUAAUUUUCAAGUACGGUUAGGAACCGUACCAUUCGCAUGAUCUUGAGGAAUCUUUAUGGAUUUAAGUGAUUUCGUAUGUUGUUAGUCACCAUACUAGGGUCGCUAUUAUUCAUUACUAGCUAACCUUAUUAGCAGUCCUCACCAUAGGUGAGUCGAGCGCUUAGCGUGGGACGCUACUAUAGCCUUGGGAGGCACCGAUCAAAUAUUAUUAUUUAUUGCUAGCUAGCCUUAUUAGCGGUCCUCACCAUAGGUGAGUCGAGCGCUUAGCGUGAGACGCUACUAUAGCUUGGGAGGCCCUGAUCGGUUUUUAUUCAUUGCUAGCUAGCCAUUAUUAGUGGUCCUCACCAUAGGUGAGUUGAGCGCUUAGUGUGGGACGUUACUAGAGCCUGGGAGGCUCAUCUUUAUGGUGAAACAUUUUCCCUUUUUCAUGAUUGCUACAAACCAAUGGGAUUAGUUCAUCACUUCUAUUUUUAGAAGCAUUAUUGGUUGAGCUUGAUUGUUGAAUUGUGAUUUGAGAUAUAUAUUGAUCGAGCAUACUAAUUAUGAAAUGUGGAAUUGUUGAGUAAUUUGGUUCAGUAGAGUUGUUGAUGUAAAUAUAAUAACUUGACCCCUGUCGUUGAUAUAGUGGGUUGGUGGGUGGUUGUGGAUAUGAAGAGCUAACAGCCCCAGGGGUUGAGUUGAUAUGUUUAACCUAUUAUGUACACGGUAGAUUUUAUAAGUUAUAAAUUAUGGCUACAGGUGUUGAGGAUGUAGAUCGUUGAUAUACUAGUGUUUUUAUGAGUUUCUUUGCAGGUCAAGUUCUACUGAAUUUUCGGUAGAAUUUCCUUUUAGAGGUGGUCCCCGCAAGACCUUCUCGGGUUUCGGGAUGAAAUUCAGGACGAGUCUUGUCACUUUAAAGGUAGACAUUUCUAAUGAACAUAGUAGAUGUGUCUUAUGUUAAAUGUCGACUUUGCAACUUUUAUCUUCGGUUGAUUUAAUCUCAAGAACAAUUUUGAUUUCCAUAAAGUCUACUUUUGUUUUAUUUGGCUUAUCUUAAUGGUAGACAUUUCUAAUGAAAAUAGUAAUUGUGUCUUAUGUUAAAUGUAGACUUUGCAACUUUUACCUUCGGUUGAUUCAAUCUCAAGAACAAUUUUGAUUUCCAAGAAGUCUACUUUUCUGUGAUUUACCUCAGGUAAAUGAGAGACAUUUCUCAUAAAAACAGUAGUCCUAUCUCAUGUUAGUAGUAGACUUGAUAAUCUAAAUGGUAGACAAUUCUUAUCAAAAC
rnacentral:lncRNA from 1 species